rnacentral:rRNA from 1 species
AUCAACUUUCGAUGGUAGGAUAGAGGCCUACCAUGGUGGUAACGGGUAACGGGGUGUUAGGGCACGACACCGGAGAGGGAGCCUGAGAAACGGCUACCACAUCCAAGGAAGGCAGCAGGCGCACAAAUUACCCAAUCCCGACACGGGGAGGUAGUGACAAUAAAUAACAAUACGGGGUUCUUUAGGAUCUCGUAAUUGGAAUGAGUACAAUUUAAAUCUCUUAACGAGGAACAAUUGGAGGGCGAGUCUGGUGCCAGCAGCCGCGGUAAUUCCAGCUCCAAUAGCGUAUAUUAAAGUUGUUGCAGUUAAAAAGCUCGUAGUUGAAUUUCGGGGUUAGUAGGUUGGUCAUGCCUCUGGUAUGUACUGGUCUCACUGAUUCCUCCUUCCUGAUGAACCGUAAUGCCAUUAAUUUGGUGUUGCGGGGAAUUUGGACUGUUACUUUGAAAAAAUUAGAGUGUUUAAAGCAAGCUAACGCUUGAAUACAUUAGCAUGGAAUAAUGAAAUAGGACGUUCGAUCCUAUUUUGUUGGUUUCUAGGAUUGACGUAAUGAUUAAUAGGGAUAGUUGGGGGCAUUAGUAUUCAAUUGUCAGAGGUGAAAUUCUUGGAUUUAUUGAAGACUAACUACUGCGAAAGCAUUUGCCAAGGAUGUUUUCAUUAAUCAAGAACGAAAGUUAGGGGAUCGAAGACGAUCAGAUACCGUCGUAGUCUUAACCAUAAACUAUGCCGACUAGGGAUCGGAUGAUGUUAAUUUCUUAAUGACUCAUUCGGCGCCUUACGGGAAACCAAAGUGUUUGGGUUC